UGUAGGAGUGAGCCUGCUCGCGAUAGCGGAAUGUCAGGAACAUAUUUGUCGACUGACACCCCGCUAUCGCGAGCAGGCUCACUCCUACA
rnacentral:misc_RNA from 1 species